AGAGUUUGAUCCUGGCUCAGGAUGAACGCUGGCGGCGUGCUUAACACAUGCAAGUCGAACGGUGAACACGGAGCUUGCUCUGUGGGAUCAGUGGCGAACGGGUGAGUAACACGUGAGCAACCUGCCCCUGACUCUGGGAUAAGCGCUGGAAACGGCGUCUAAUACUGGAUACGAGUAGCGACCGCAUGGUCAGUUACUGGAAAGAUUUUUUGGUUGGGGAUGGGCUCGCGGCCUAUCAGCUUGUUGGUGAGGUAACGGCUCACCAAGGCGUCGACGGGUAGCCGGCCUGAGAGGGUGACCGGCCACACUGGGACUGAGACACGGCCCAGACUCCUACGGGAGGCAGCAGUGGGGAAUAUUGCACAAUGGGCGGAAGCCUGAUGCAGCAACGCCGCGUGAGGGAUGACGGCCUUCGGGUUGUAAACCUCUUUUAGCAGGGAAGAAGCGAAAGUGACGGUACCUGCAGAAAAAGCGCCGGCUAACUACGUGCCAGCAGCCGCGGUAAUACGUAGGGCGCAAGCGUUAUCCGGAAUUAUUGGGCGUAAAGAGCUCGUAGGCGGUUUGUCGCGUCUGCUGUGAAAUCCCGAGGCUCAACCUCGGGCCUGCAGUGGGUACGGGCAGACUAGAGUGCGGUAGGGGAGAUUGGAAUUCCUGGUGUAGCGGUGGAAUGCGCAGAUAUCAGGAGGAACACCGAUGGCGAAGGCAGAUCUCUGGGCCGUAACUGACGCUGAGGAGCGAAAGGGUGGGGAGCAAACAGGCUUAGAUACCCUGGUAGUCCACCCCGUAAACGUUGGGAACUAGUUGUGGGGUCCAUUCCACGGAUUCCGUGACGCAGCUAACGCAUAAGU
rnacentral:rRNA from 1 species